GAAAUGCGAUAAGUAAUGUGAAUUGCAGAUUUCCGUGAAUCAUCGAAUCUUUGAACGCACAUUGCGCCCUCUGGCAUUCCGGGGGGCAUGCCUGUCCGAGCGUCAUUACGCACCCUCAAGCCCGGCUUGUGUGAUGGGCCCUGGCGUCUCGUUCGCGAGACGGGCCCGAAAGGCAGCGGCGGCGUCGACCCGAUGAGCCCGAGCGUAUGGGGACUUUUGUCACACGUUUGCGGUGCGGACCGGCGCCUGCUUGACUUUUCUGAUUAUCCAGGUUGACCUCGGAUCAGGUAGGGAUACCCGCUGAACUUAAGC
rnacentral:misc_RNA from 1 species